rnacentral:rRNA from 1 species
CCUACGGGAGGCAGCAGGCGCGAAACCUCCGCAAUGCGGGAAACCGCGACGGGGGGACCCCGAGUGCCGUGGCACCGCCACGGCUUUUCCGGAGUGUAAAAAGCUCCGGGAAUAAGGGCUGGGCAAGGCCGGUGGCAGCCGCCGCGGUAAUACCGGCGGCCCGAGUGGUGGCCGCUAUUAUUGGGCCUAAAGCGUCCGUAGCCGGGCCCGUAAGUCCCUGGCGAAAUCCCACGGCUCAACCGUGGGGCUUGCUGGGGAUACUGCGGGCCUUGGGACCGGGAGAGGCGGGGGGUACCCCUGGGGUAGGGGUGAAAUCCUAUAAUCCCAGGGGGACCGCCAGUGGCGAAGGCGCCCCGCUGGAACGGGUCCGACGGUGAGGGACGAAGGCCAGGGGAGCAAACCGGAUUAGAUACCCUGGUAG